GAGUUUGAUCCUGGCUCAGGACGAACGCUGGCGGCGUGCUUAACACAUGCAAGUCGAGCGAUGAAGCUUCCUUCGGGAAGUGGAUUAGCGGCGGACGGGUGAGUAACACGUGGGUAACCUACCUCAAAGUGGGGGAUAGCCUUCCGAAAGGAAGAUUAAUACCGCAUAAUAUGAGAGAAUCGCAUGAUUUUCUUAUCAAAGAUUUAUUGCUUUGAGAUGGACCCGCGGCGCAUUAGCUAGUUGGUAAGGUAACGGCUUACCAAGGCAACGAUGCGUAGCCGACCUGAGAGGGUGAUCGGCCACAUUGGAACUGAGACACGGUCCAGACUCCUACGGGAGGCAGCAGUGGGGAAUAUUGCGCAAUGGGGGAAACCCUGACGCAGCAACGCCGCGUGGGUGAUGAAGGUCUUCGGAUUGUAAAGCCUGUUUUCUAGGACGAUAAUGACGGUACUAGAGGAGGAAGCCACGGCUAACUACGUGCCAGCAGCCGGGUAAUACGUAGGUGGCGAGCGUUGUCCGGAUUUACUGGGCGUAAAGGGUGCGUAGGCGGAUGUUUAAGUGGGAUGUGAAAUCCCCGGGCUUAACCUGGGGGCUGCAUUCCAAACUGGAUAUCUAGAGUGCAGGAGAGGAAAGCGGAAUUCCUAGUGUAGCGGUGAAAUGCGUAGAGAUUAGGAAGAACACCAGUGGCGAAGGCGGCUUUCUGGACUGUAACUGACGCUGAGGCACGAAAGCGUGGGUAGCAAACAGGAUUAGAUACCCUGGUAGUCCACGCCGUAAACGAUGGAUACUAGGUGUAGGGGGUAUCAACUCCCCCUGUGCCGCAGUUAACACAAUAAGUAUCCCGCUGGGGAGUACGGUCGCAAGAUUAAAACUCAAAGGAAUUGACGGGGGCCCGCACAAGCAGCGGAGCAUGUGGUUUAAUUCGAAGCAACGCGAAGAACCUUACCUGGACUUGACAUCCCUUGCAUAGCCUAGAGAUAGGUGAAGCCCUUCGGGGCAAGGAGACAGGUGGUGCAUGGUUGUCGUCAGCUCGUGUCGUGAGAUGUUAGGUUAAGUCCUGCAACGAGCGCAACCCUUGUUAUUAGUUGCUACCAUUAAGUUGAGCACUCUAAUGAGACUGCCUGGGUAACCAGGAGGAAGGUGGGGAUGACGUCAAAUCAUCAUGCCCCUUAUGUCCAGGGCUACACACGUGCUACAAUGGUAGGUACAAUAAGACGCAAGACCGUGAGGUGGAGCAAAACUUAUAAAACCUAUCUCAGUUCGGAUUGUAGGCUGCAACUCGCCUACAUGAAGCUGGAGUUGCUAGUAAUCGCGAAUCAGAAUGUCGCGGUGAAUACGUUCCCGGGCCUUGUACACACCGCCCGUCACACCAUGAGAGCUGGUAACACCCGAAGUCCGUGAGGUAACCGUAAGGAGCCAGCGGCCGAAGGUGGGAUUAGUGAUUGGGGUGAAGUCGUAACAAGGUAGCCGUAGGAGAACCUGCGGCUGGAUCACC
rnacentral:rRNA from 1 species